rnacentral:rRNA from 1 species
AACGAACGCUGGCGGCGUGGAUAAGACAUGCAAGUCGAACGCUCAUUACGGGGUAGCAAUAUUCCGUAGUGGGAGUGGCGCAAGGGUGCGUAACACGUGGGUAAUCUGCCAUGAAGUUUGGGAUAACUCGCUGAAAGGCGAGCUAAUACCGGAUGUGAGAAUUGGAAGGCAUCUUUUGAUUCUCAAAGCUGGGGACCGUAAGGCCUGGCGCUUCAUGANGAACCCGCGGCCUAUCAGCUAGUUGGUGAGGUAACGGCCCACCAAGGCUAAGACGGGUAGCUGGUCUGAGAGGACGACCAGCCACACUGGAACUGAGACACGGUCCAGACACCUACGAGUGGCAGCAGUCGAGAAUUUUUCACAAUGGGCGAAAGCCUGAUGGAGCGACGCCGCGU